rnacentral:misc_RNA from 1 species
GUGAGUCAUCGAAUCUUUGAACGCACAUUGCGCCCCGUGGCAUUCCGCGGGGCAUGCCUGUUCGAGCGUCAUUUCAACCCUCAAGCGCGGCUUGGUGUUGGGCGCAGCCCUAGUGGCCGGCCCUAAAGAUAGUGGCGGUACGGCCCGGCCCCCGAGCGUAGUACGUUUUCCUCGCUAUGGUGCCCGGCGGUAGCUUGCCAGAACCCCCACGAUCGCUAGUUGACCUCGGAUCAGGUAGGGAUACCCGCUGAACUUAAGCAUAUCAAUAAGCGGAGGA